ACAAGGCCUUUACUGACGCUAAAGCUCGAAGGUGCGGGUAUCGAACAGGAUUAGAUACCCUGGUAGUCCGCACGGUAAACGAUGGAUGCCCGCUGUUUGCGAUAUAUUGUAAGCGGCCAAGAGAAAUCGUUAAGCAUCCCACCUGGGGAGUACGCCGGCAACGGUGAAACUCAAAGGAAUUGACGGGGGCCCGCACAAGCGGAGGAACAUGUGGUUUAAUUCGAUGAUACGCGAGGAACCUUACCCGGGCUUGAACUGCAGCGGAAGGAUACAGAGAUGUUGACGUCCUUCGGGACCGCUGUGGAGGUGCUGCAUGGUUGUCGUCAGCUCGUGCCGUGAGGUGUCGGCUUAAGUGCCAUAACGAGCGCAACCCUUUUCAUCAGUUGCCAUCAGGUGGUGCUGGGCACUCUGUUGAUACUGCCACCGUAAGGUGUGAGGAAGGUGGGGAUGACGUCAAAUCAGCACGGCCCUUACGUCCGGGGCUACACACGUGGUACAAUGGGGCAUACAGAAGGCAGGAUCACGGCAACGUGUUUCAAAUCUUUAAAGUGCUCCUCAGUUCGGAUUGGGGUCUGCAACCCGACCCCAUGAAGCUGGAUU
rnacentral:rRNA from 1 species